rnacentral:rRNA from 1 species
GUCCAGACUCCUACGGGAGGCAGCAGUGGGGGAUAUUGCACAAUGGGGGAAACCCUGAUGCAGCGACGCCGCGUGAGUGAAGAAGUAAUUCGUUACGUAAAGCUCUAUCAGCAGGGAAGAAAAUGACGGUACCUGACUAAGAAGCCCCGGCUAACUACGUGCCAGCAGCCGCGGUAAUACGUAGGGGGCAAGCGUUAUCCGGAUUUACUGGGUGUAAAGGGAGCGUAGACGGUUCUGCAAGCCAGAUGUGAAAGCCCGGGGCUCAACCCCGGGACUGCAUUUGGAACUGUAAGGCUAGAGUGUCGGAGAGGCAGGCGGAAUUCCUAGUGUAGCGGUGAAAUGCGUAGAUAUCAGGAGGAACACCGGUGGCGAAGGCGGCCUGCUGGACUGCAACUGACGUUGAGGCCCGAAAGCGUGGGGAGCAAACAGGAUUAGAUACCCCGGUA